AGACACACACACACACAGAGAGGGAGAGAGAGAGAGGGACACACACACACAGAGAGAGAGAGAGAGGGACACACA